AGGUACUGUCCCUGAUCUGGAGGACUUGCAGUCUGGCAGCAGCAUCAGUGUUUGCAGUACAUGUAUGAUGUCUGAAUAUUUCUGGAAGCUAAGAAGAGAAGAGAGGGAAUUAGAAAGGGAGAAAAAUGGCAUUGCAGACUCCGACGAUCACUAUGAUCCUUAUUACUACUAUCUUAGUGUCCUCGACGAUGCCCAUCUUGAAGAGCAUGGCAGGGUGCUUGGCAAGAGCAUGCGGAGGUAU
rnacentral:lncRNA from 1 species